UCAAAGAAAUUGACGGGGGCCCGCACAAGCGGUGGAGUAUGUGGUUUAAUUCGAUGCAACGCGAAGAACCUUACCUAGGUUUGACAUCCACGGAACCCUCCCGAAAAGGAGGGGUGCCCUUCGGGGAGCCGUGAGACAGGUGCUGCAUGGCUGUCAUCAGCUCGUGUCGUGAGAUGUUGGGUUAAGUCCCGCAACGAGCGCAACCCCUAUGGAUAGUUGCCAGCAAGUAAUGUUGGGCACUCUAUUCAGACUGCCCGGGUUAACCGGGAGGAAGGUGGGGACGACGUCAAGUCAUCAUGGCCCUUACGCCUAGGGCUACACACGUACUACAAUGGCGCGCACAAAGGGGAGCGAGACCGCGAGGUGGAGCCAAUCCCAAAAAACGCGUCCCAGUCCGGAUUGCAGUCUGCAACUCGACUGCAUGAAGUUGGAAUCGCUAGUAAUUCGAGAUCAGCAUGCUCGGGUGAAUGCGUUCCCGGGCCUUGUACACACCGCCCGUCACACCACGAAAGUCGGUUUUACCCGAAGCCGGUGAGCCAACCAGCAA
rnacentral:rRNA from 1 species